rnacentral:ncRNA from 2 species
AGAAGUCUUCAGGGCAGGGUUAAAUUCCCUACCGGUGGUAUAGCCCACGAACCGAGAGGUAUGAUUUGGUGAAAUUCCAAAGCCGACAGUAUAGUCUGGAUGAAAGAAGAUAAAU